rnacentral:rRNA from 1 species
CCUACGGGGGGCAGCAGUGGGGAAUAUUGCACAAUGGGGGAAACCCUGAUGCAGCGACGCCGCGUGAAGGGUGAAGUAUUUCGGUAUGUAAACUUCUAUCAGCAGGGAAGAAAAUGACGGUACCUGACUAAGAAGCCCCGGCUAACUACGUGCCAGCAGCCGCGGUAAUACGUAGGGGGCAAGCGUUAUCCGGAUUUACUGGGUGUAAAGGGAGCGUAGACGGUAUGGCAAGUCUGAUGUGAAAACCCGGGGCUCAACCCCGGGACUGCAUUGGAAACUGCCGAACUAGAGUGUCGGAGAGGCAAGUGGAAUUCCUAGUGUAGCGGUGAAAUGCGUAGAUAUUAGGAGGAACACCAGUGGCGAAGGCGGCUUGCUGGACGAUGACUGACAUUGAUGCUCGAAAGUGUGGGUAUCAAACAGGAUUAGAUACCCGGGUAGUC